AUACGGAGGAUCCGAGCGUUAUCCGGAUUUAUUGGGUUUACAGGGUGCGCAGGCGGCCAUUUAGGUCAGCGGUUAAUUCGUGGGGCUCAACCCCAUUCUGCCGUUGAUACUGGGCGGCUGGAUUGCGGUCGAGGUUGGCGGUAUUCUCUGUGUGGAGGUGAAAUGCAUAGAUAUGACGAAGAACACCGAUUGCGUAGGAAGCUGACCAGACCGCAAAUGACGCUCAUGCACGAAAGUGCGGGGAUCGAACAGGAUUAGAUACCCUGGUAGUCCGCACAGUAAACAAUGAAUACUUGUUUUCGGCGAUAUAAUGUCGGAGGCAAAGCGUAAGCGAUAAGUAUUCCACCUGGGGAGUACGCCGGCAACGGUGAAACUCAAAUGAAUUGACGGGG
rnacentral:rRNA from 1 species